CUUCACAUUCCAUUGGAUUUUGGAGUUGAUCAAGUUGAUUCCAAAAAAUGGUUUUACCUUCUAUCCAUUUAUGGGAAGUUAUGGGAUGAUAAUCAUAUGGAUGUCAUAUUCUAUUAUUUGCGAAAGAUGGGCAAGUACAAUCAGCAUAGGGACUUCACGUUUACUACUUUUGAUUGUAUAUUCAAGACAAGAAUAUAUGAAAUAUAUGACAGGUAUGAAGAUACAGAUAGUAAUGCUAAUGUAGCCAAACAAGAAGACGCUGUAUGUGAGUAUAUUAGGGGCUACAGAUUGCAUGCUAAUGUACCCUGGCAUACAGUGUAUAAUGUCUUGAUACCAGUGAACUUGAAGGAAAAACUUCAUUGGGUGUUGGUUGUUGUGACUUUCAAAGAUAGAUGUAUCAAAGUGUAUGACUCAUACACGUCUUCCGGUCAUGAUGCAUACAUAUCUCUGAGAUUGUAAAGCUAGCUAAGCUAUUACCUCUGUAUCUGUCAAUUAGUGGCUUUUACAGAGAUAGUCAAGGCACUGACUGGUAUGCUUAUCCCGCAUACACAAACAAGGAUCAUAACGAACCUUUUGAAGUUAUCUUCGUUCCAAAUCUGCCUCAACAGAAAGCGGGCAGCAUGGAUUGUGGAGUGCAUGUUGCAGCCUUCGCGGAGUUUCUGAGCACUAUUGGAGAGAUUACACAAAAAACACCACUUGAUGCCACUCUUCUCCAUCAAAGAUAUGGUGCUCUGUUAUGGGACUAUGCUAUGCGCAAGAUAGAUGCUGAUGCAAUAAGCGAGAGUGAAGCACAUUCAAAGAUUGAAAGGCAAAUCUUUGAGUCGGAGGCAAAGAUGCAGAUAGUUUUAGAAUAGCUUUAGGUUUUUUUUUUUUGAGUUUAGCUUGAACAAUAA